CUUUUUACAACCAAGAGUCUACACAUAAAACAUUUUCACCCAUCCUUUCCAUCAGACAUUUGUGAUUUAAGCUUCAAGAGACUGGGGAAUAAUGCUCCUCUCUUGCUAUUUCAAUAGCCUUCUUAGUAAGUUUCCAUGUUUAUGUCCAGAUUGGAUGUUGUCCUAUAGCAGUGAUGAUGCUGUAAUUUGAAAAGAAUUCUGACUGCCCCUCAACUGUUGUUUUUCUGCAACACACCGUGACUUGUGCAGAAUGCUAACUUCUCCUGCUCUCCUCACCCAAGGGGUAAUACCAUCUUAUUGAACUCUUUGCAACCUGUCCUGGAAAGCCAAAUCCACAAUGAAUCUAAAACACAUGGCAAAGCAUGCUUUCCUGGAUAAAGCGACUCUUAUCUGCAAUGUGAUCAAAGCUGAACACACCUAGCACAUGAAAAUAUAGAAUAAAGAGAUAUUUGGUCUGGUUCUGACAGGAUCUCAUUCUCUACCACAUAGUCAACAAAACUCUGAGGUGGUCCUUAAGGUAGGUUCCUAUUUCCAUCAUCUGAUCCAGAAGGUGGCACUCUGUUUUAUUGAUUUUAGUCCUUUCCUCUCUUUGAGCCUUUGCUCAGAGAUAAAUGUGGAGUCAUGUGAUGCGAGCUUGUAGGUUAAGAUAUCUUUAUUCAAAUAAUACCAGCCAAGCGCAAGCCAGAGCGUGCCCCAAGGCAGCAAGCUAGGGAAGCCAGAGAGUGAGCGCUCCCAAGUGUGUCCUGCACCUUAAGAACCCUCACCGGUCAUCCUGAACAUCCCCUGACAGGCGUGGUUAAGCACACCUGUAGCCAGCCCUUAGGAGGCGUGGUUACGGUGUCUCCCUACAAUUCCCCUUUUAGUCAAAAUAUUCCCAGACUGUUCUCCGUGAUGGUAUUAACCCUAUGAAUUUUCAGUCGCCUCUGUGAGUAUCCCUGUUGGUUUGUGUUAAACUCAGAUUCCCAUGAAUGCAAGCCACUUCCUAGCCCAUCCUUGUAGCCCGAUCUCUUGUCCUCAGCUACAAUGUUCUAUCUGCUGGUAAAACUCUUCUUCCCUUCCCCACUGAUGGGUCUGUCCACCCGUGUUUUCCACUCCUUCAUGGGGUGGACCAUUGCUGUCUCUCUUCCCUGCAAUCUUCCACACGCUAUUUUACUAAAAUAAAGCUUUUAUACCUAUAUCCAGGGACAGAAAUAAAAGAACUUUCUGAAUUUACCUUUUCUUUAUGAUCAUUGAUUGAAUAUUCAUAGUUUGAAUAUUUGUCCAAAAGAUCCAAAGGCCCAGACUUUAUAUCCCAGUAUCUUUCUAUUCUUCAGACAUAGACAAAGAGAAGAAGAAACAGAAAGUUCUGUGUUUUCCAACCGCAGUGAUCUACAGAUGACCUCUACUCUAUCUUAUCACACAUUGCUGAUCACUUCAGCAAACUAUAAGAACCCAGUAAGACAGAUGGGAUGCCAGUGCCCCUGACUGUGGCCCAAACAUAAGAAACCAUGAGAUCACCUUCAAACACAUUCAAAGUACACACUUCUUGGGCUCACAAAAUCAAGCUGGGAACCACUUGAAAGAAAUUCAUAGGAUAUCUGGGUCUGGAGAUAAGGCAAGAAAGUAAAAAUACCAAAAACUAUAGAGAACAAGAAAUCUUCCCUUACCUUUGAAAAAACAAAAAUCUCAUUGUAAAUAUGCCCAAAGUCUGACACUAUAUUUUAUACCUUCUUAUCCUGUUUUCCAAAUUUUAGGCCUUCAAACAAGAUGGGUAUUGAAAGAAAAAGCCUCCAGUCCAAGUCAACUUGAUGAGUGAGUGUCUGGGUCUUCUACAGAACAUGCAAGUCAUUUUGUGUCUACCUCACAUAGUAAUAAUGUGGACAACACAAGAACAACAACCAAAUGCACAGUAAACUUAUAACCAAUUGCAAAGCUGCAUGUUGAUUUCCAGUGAGAGCAUACUGUUAUACAAACAAUUGGCACUUUAUAAAAUUCUGUUCUUCUUGGGCCGCCUGCAUGUGGGAAACAGUUUUGUAGCCCGGACUGUUUGUGAAGACCCUGACAGUGGGAGUGGGAUCUAUCCCCAGUGCAUGAGCUGGCUUUUUGAAGCCCACUCCAUACAGUGGAAUGUCUUGCUGAGCCUUAAGCGGGGGAGGGGGCUUGGUCCUGCCUCAACUGAAUGAGCCAGGUGUGGUUAACUCCCCAUGGGAAGCCUUACCCUUUCUGAGGAGUAGAUGGGG
rnacentral:lncRNA from 1 species